AACGGUCUAUACCUGCGGUACCUGCGGAGGGAUCAUUAAAUGAAACUGCCUCACAGGCAACCAAUGCACUACGGACUGGUGAAUGCCAGUCUAAUGUGUAUUACCAUUUGUUGAAACACUUUUUUCUGCUUUGGCAGCACCUGACGCCUAACCGCGAAGGGGUAAGGCUGUCAAAAGCCCAUAUUAAAACCAGUUGAUGAAAUGUCAUGCUGUCUGAUACUUUGUAUUUGAGAAAUCAAA
rnacentral:misc_RNA from 1 species